AAGAGCUACAUUUUUUUGUAACAAAAACUACAUCUUUUUAGGGUAAUUAAUGAAUUGCCAAAAUGGAAAAAUGUUAUACAAAUUACAAUUACCUACUUUACAAAAGUAAGAAGAAGAAAAAAAAAACCCAAGAUUCCUCUUUUGAAGAACAUUGGCAAUGGAGAUUAAUAGUUUAGAGAGAAAGAGAAAGAGAGAGAGAGAGAGA
rnacentral:lncRNA from 1 species